CCUACGGGGGGCAGCAGUGGGGAAUAUUGGGCAAUGGGCGAAAGCCUGAUCCAGCCAUGCCGCGUGUGUGAAGAAGGCCUUCGGGUUGUAAAGCACUUUCAGUGGGGAAGAAAGCCUUGGGGCUAAUACCCUCGAGGAAGGACAUCACCCACAGAAGAAGCACCGGCUAACUCCGUGCACAGCAGCCGCGGUAAUACGGAGGGUGCGAGCGUUAAUCGGAAUUACUGGGCGUAAAGCGCGCGUAGGCGGUCUGAUAAGCCGGUUGUGAAAGCCCCGGGCUCAACCUGGGAACGGCAUCCGGAACUGUCAGGCUAGAGUGCAGGAGAGGAAGGUAGAAUUCCCGGUGUAGCGGUGAAAUGCGUAGAGAUCGGGAGGAAUACCAGUGGCGAAGGCGGCCUUCUGGACUGACACUGACGCUGAGGUGCGAAAGCGUGGGUAGCAAACAGGAUUAGAUACCCCGGUAGUC
rnacentral:rRNA from 1 species